AGCUCCGUUCCAAUAAAUUGUAGGUAGUCACCCAUUACAAAGGGGUAGUUUUUCCCUGCCGCGUGUAAAACCGGCCGGGACGAACUCAGAGAUGAAAAUAUCAGCAAAAUUUCGUGCUGUUCCGAACACUGCUGUCCACGCUGCUACCAUUCCAAUAUCAUACAUGCCUUCUGUCUCCUUGCUCGCAGGGCACAGCCCAGCCAGGAGAGAUUGCCUGUAAGGACUAGCGCUGCCGUCCUCCGAGAGGCUGCAAGCAAACCACUUUCCGGGCGCAGGAAUGAAAGGGAGGCAGGAAAAAAAUCGUCCCCGGCAGCAGUUUAAGGCUCUUUUCAGUCUGGACCUCAGACAUACUGGGAGAUAAAGGGAUGUAGAAAAGUGAAUGAUAAAUGUCCUGACUCCAGGAAGUGGUGUUCUAAGGACAUUAGCCACUUUGGAUAAAAUUGCCAAAGAAGACAAUUCCAGCAAUCCUUCAGCAUCUACAGGAGGAGAGGCUCCUCAGCCGGUGCGGUCGGAGGGCUUCACUGCCGCUCCGGAGAGAGCAGCGUUAAGGGAGCAGUGGAAUCAGCUCAAGACUGAUUUCACUUGCAAACGCGCUGGGGCUUCGCAAUCUCUCACACUAGCGCGGUGUAAACACGCUGCUGGCUGCUAACAGCUCUGUGCCUCUUCCAAGGGGAGUCCUGGGGAGAGACGGGAUGUGCCCAGGGGUGUGGGGAGGUCUGAUUCCCAUGGGAGGCUGGGGCAUCUCUUCGUCCUUCUUGCACGGCACUUGCAAGCAUGGCCUCAAAUUUGUUCUGCACGAAGUUCCCAGCUGAAUUUGGAGAACUGCCAUUGUACCGGUAUAGUAAUACCACACUUCAGAGAAUAAAAAGUUUG